GUUGUAGGUAGCAGAACGUUCUGGUUAUACAAAGCUGAAAACAGAACCAGAAUUGAUUCUGCUGACAUUAGUAACCUCAAAUGUGUAUCAUGGCCGUAAGUCCAAGGGUUUGCUAUUCAGUGAAUGCGGUAAUUUAUCCUAUAUAA
rnacentral:rRNA from 1 species